UGUUGGGUUAAGUCCCGCAACGAGCGCAACCCCUGUGUUUAGUUGCCAGCAUGUAAUGGUGGGGACUCUAAACAGACUGCCUGUGCAAACAGAGAGGAAGGAGGGGACGACGUCAAGUCAUCAUGGCCCUUACGUCCGGGGCUACACACGUGCUACAAUGGGCAGUACAGAGGGCAGCUACUUUGCAAGAAGAUGCUAAUCUCAAAAAGCUGUUCACAGUUCGGAUAGAGGUCUGCAACUCGACCUCUUGAAGUUGGAUUCGCUAGUAAUCGCAGAUCAGCAAUGCUGCGGUGAAUACGUUCCCGGGCCUUGUACACACCGCCCGUCAAGCCAUGGAAGCUGGGAGUGCCUGAAGUCGGUAACCGUAAGGAGCUGCCUAGGGUAAAACUAGUAACUGGGGCUAAGUCGUAACAAGGUAGCCGUACCGGAAGGUGCGGCUGGAACAUCUCCUU
rnacentral:rRNA from 1 species